rnacentral:rRNA from 1 species
GCAUAUCAAUAAGCGGAGGAAAAGAAAAUAACAAUGAUUCCCUUAGUAACGGCGAGUGAAGGGGGAAAAGCUCAAAUUUUAAAUCUGCUAGGUUUUACUUAUCAGAAUUGUAAUUUGAAGAAGCGUUUUCCGCGUCUCGGUCGGCCCAAAUCCUUUGGGAUAAGGUAUCAUGGAGGGUGAGAAUCCCGUUCGGUUGACCUUAUGACGCUCUACGAUACGCUCUCUAAGAGUCGAGUUGUUUGGGAUUGCAGCUCAAAAUGGGAGGUAAAUUUCUCCUAAGGCUAAAUAUCGGCGAGAGACCGAUAGCGAACAAGUACCGUGAGGGAAAGAUGAAAAGAACUUUGAAAAGAGAGUAAAAUAGUACGUGAAAUUGUUGAAAGGGAAACGAUUGAAGUCAGUCGUACCGACGAGAAAUCAACUUAUCGUGUGCGAACU